AUUUUUAAUUGAAAUCUAGAAUGAAAGGUUGGAUGAGAUAUAAGCUUUUUUUUAUAAAAUAUUUGAAUUUUAUUUUUUAGUCAAAAAGCUAAAUUCAUUAAAUGGGACGAGAAGACCCUAUAGAAUUUUAUAAAUAAUAAUUUAUAAUUAAUUUUUAAUUAAGUUUUAAAUUUUAAUUUAUUUUAUUGGGGAGAUAUUUAAAUUUAAAAAACUUUAAUUUAAUUUAAUCAUUAAUUUUUGUAUAAUUGAUCUUUUUUUAAAGAUUAAAAAUUUAAAUUACCUUAGGGAUAACAGCAUAAUAAUUUUAAGGAGUUCUUAUUUUUAAAAUAGUUUAU
rnacentral:rRNA from 1 species